rnacentral:sRNA from 2 species
GAAGCUUCAUUAUAAACAUGAAAGCUGGCUCCUGCAUAGGACACUGAAAACCAACUUCGAUUAUCUUCAAGAGGUGCCUAUCUUAACACUGGAUGUUAAUGAAGACUUUAAAGACAAAUAUGAAAGUCUGGUUGAAAAGGUAGAUUUAGACAGACUACAAACAAAUAUUUGUUUUUUCUAAAA